GAAAAUUAACUCUAAUUCUUCCUCACUCCGACACCAAACUCAGAAACACUGAUUAACUGUUUAGCGGAAUAAUGUGUACCGAAGCAAAAUACCUCACUGAUCAGUACAGUUAUCUCUCUGCUGUAUCGUUCUGUAUUCAAAACUAGCUCGUAUACCAUGUUUUUUCAACACAGUAGCAACCAUGUGAAUAGGCAGAGCACCAUUAGUUUCUACAGAUGUCAUUUGAACUAUGCUAUAAUUGUGACUAUAUGACGCGUGCUAUUGUCGCUGUAGUUUUUUAUGCUCAGAUCAGGCCAAACUCACAAUAUGUAUAAUCAAAUGUACGCAAGUCCUGAAAGUCACAUGCUUUUUUCACAGCCAAAAUGAAUUUAGAUCUACGUUAUCACAUAUACCCCUAAUCUAUUCAAGUUAGUAAAUUUCACCUUGCAAGAUAUUUGGCUGCUAUUUCUACCAGGUCGACAAAGGAAGGUGUUGCAUAUCAGACUAAUAUACACAGAAGGAAAGUUUCACUGAAUGCUUAUAGUAGAUUCGCGUGAUCUAAAAAUCUUGUUGAAGGUCUCCCAUGUUUUGUUGUUCACUACUAUAAGUACCAGUCAUAUACUGAUGUCUACUUUAUUGACUGCACAACUUCAAGACAAUUUUGAGACUAUUAUGCAAGGUAAGAAAGCAUUUGUAAAGCUGAAACGCGUUAAACUUUCCAGGGAUGAUAUUAUUUUAUCCCUUUUAUUUAUUAAUCACAAAACUCUUAUUAGCAGAUGAAAUGGGAAACAAGCUAUUGUGAUAUUCAUGCCUUUUUACGAAAGAAAUGUGUUGUUAAGGGAAGAAGUGCGUUGUUAACUGAAGGGAAAUAACUUUUAACCAGAAAUCGAAUACACCCAACAAAUAGAUUAAUUUAGAUCAAAGUUCAGUCUGUUGCUAUGCUACGAAGUCUAGAGUUCCGGACUAAAUGAUUUACAAUAAUUCGAUUCAUCCGUCAACAUCCUGGGUUCGUAUUUCACGUGAAUUUUUGUUUUCCAGCAAACCCAUUCAUUUUUAUGGGCAAAAGGAAAAUCAUUUGACUGCGGCCAUGCUGGGGCACCGCCUUUAGUCGGGGAGAUCGAGCCCAGGAGUUACUCAUUUCAUUUGAAAGAGUAGCAGUCCAUAAGGAACAAAUAAAUCUCCCUCAAUACUGACAAAUUCCUGUUGAAAAAGAGUUCAUAACUCCAACUAAAAACGUUUGUCUCUCCUUACACACACUUCCUGUUUUGACACCACAUUUCCUGCUUAACACAAACUUUUAACCCUUUUUUAAAACCUAACAAAACUCUCAACUCUCAUGCAUCCUUAUUUUUCCUACUAUUAUAUACAUGAACUACUAUUGAACUUCAAAAGCUCAAAGACAAUAUAAUGUAUGGGUAUAUUUAUUUUUUUAUAUAUUAUUUUCUUCAUUUUGUACUUCUUUGUAAAAAACAUUUUCAUUCUCCUUCUUCUUGAUAAUUUGCUUUCGCAAUGAAAACCGGUUAGAAAUCUUUAUUAAAAUAUGCUUCCAGUUCAGCAUUCUGCCUUUUUUUCAUUUUCCUAUAUAUAUCCGACGGGCUUCUUUCAGUUUCCGUCUACCAAAUCCACUCAUAAGGCUUUGGUCAGCUCGAGGCUACAGUAGAAGACAUUUUCCUAAGAUGCCACGCAGUGAGAUUGAACCCGGAACCAUAUGGUAGCUGUUUCAGGCGUGUUUUAUAUUGUUGAAGAGAAGCGUUACAUAAUGCAAAGAAACAAAGAAAAUAACGACUACAGGAUACGACGAAAGAAUUUUCAAGAGAAAGGUGUCCACUGUCUUACCCUAGAAAAUAUUUAAAAAAUGCGGAAGGAAAGGAAAAUUUGAAGGGACUGGAAAUGUACAGAGUAACAUAAAAUGACGAAAACUGAUGACGAAAUGAUGUAGAAAACGAAAGGAAAAUGACAAGUAUUGUAUUAUAAAACGAUAUAGAGGAAGUUAAAUUAAAACAAAAACAAUGAAAGAAAACACCAGCCCGGGAAAGGAAUUAAUAUUGAAAAAAAAAAUUAAAUAUUUUAGGG